GAGCUCCACACUCCAAAAGAAAGCUUCACAGUCAUCUUCACAGUCAUCUUCCUCUCCAUUCACACUCCAAACCUUUCUCCUCAGCGCCUUCAUCCACCGCAUUCUUCCAUCAUCAACACCUUUGGGACUUCCAUCACUGUCGUCGUCAAUCAUCGCUGUUCCCGUGCUGUCCCGUCUCUUCCCCUCUUUUACGAGGACAAACCCUAAUCCUCCUUCAGCGACUUUUUCUUCCCUUCAAACCUAACACCGAUGGUUUUACAAGAAUCGCAUUGUCAGUAUGGGCCACAACAAUGCUUAGUUUAUAUACAAAGGUUCAAGUAAAUAUUCUAGGAAGACAUCUAUAUAUUGAUACUGCACGAAGAUUUGAAAGCUCAAGCACAACAAUAAGAGAGAUUCGCCAGAAAUAUGAUAUGGUGAUCUACCUGUUGGAGUAUAUUGACUAUCCUGACUAAAAUGGUUUGGUUCUGGGAUUGGCUCUUGCAUUCAUUCUUGGUGCAGGACUUCUUUUUGGAGCUAAACUAUUUACAAGAGAUGUUGAUGUCUUCCACCUCAUAAAAAUUUACUAUAAUCUAUCUUCUUACGUGAGAUGGUUAUUACAACCCUGUGUGAUCUGCAUGGGCUCUAUCCGGGAAUCAUAUUGCAAAAUAAGGUUUUGAGGAUUAAGGAUAAGUCUAUUGAUCAGGCUCUAGCCUACUUUUGUGAGGUUUUGAAGUCUAUUGGAGGUGUUCUUCCAGAAUCCAUAAAAUACAUUGUCAGAACCGAAGAGAAUAGUCCAAGAUCUUCUGGUACCUCACCGCUUAGGACUCUCAGAAUUCAGUCUUUGGGAAAGCUGAAUCCAAUUGAUUUGAAGUGCUUGUCUUUCCAUAUGUCACCACCCCACAAGGCAACUCAAAAUAAGAAGAUUAAUGAGGAACUAGACAGAGAAAUAAAAGUGGAUCACAAAGAUGGAAAAGCUGAAAAGGAUGACAUACCAGAGUUAUAGUUGAUAGUUUUAGUAUGGUUGAACAAUAUACUGAAAAUUAUAGUUGAUGUAUCUAUAUACUUUGUUUAUGUUUUGAAUUAUAUUGACUUGCU